GACGAACGCUGGCGGCGUGCUUAACACAUGCAAGUCGAACGGAAAGGCCCUGCUUUUGUGGGGUGCUCGAUUGGCGAACGGGUGAGUAACACGUGAGUAACCUGCCCUUGACUUUGGGAUAACUUCACGAAACUGGGGCUAAUACCGCAUAGGAGCUCCUGCUGCAUGGUGGGGGUUGGAAAGUUUCGGCGGUUGGGGAUGGACUCGCGGCUUAUCGGCUUGUUGGUGGGGUAGUGGCUUACCAAGGCUUUGACGGGUAGCCGGCCUGAGAGGGUGAACGGCCACAUUGGGACUGAGAUACGGCCCAGACUCCUACGGGAGGCAGCAGUGGGGAGUAUUGCAAAAUGGGCGGAAGCCUGAUGCAGCAACGCCGCGUGCGGGAUGACGGGUUACGGGUUAUAAACCGAUUUCGCCUGUGACGAAGCGUGAGUGACGGUAAUGGGUAAGGAAGCACCGGCUAACUACGUG
rnacentral:rRNA from 1 species